UGAGAAACGGAGGCCUUCAGCCAACAGCUGGGAGAAGCUGAGUCCCAUCAGCCAUUCAAAAGACUGCAGCCCCAGCCAAGAGUUUGAUGUAACCUCAGGAGAGACCCUGAGCCAGAACCACCUAGAAAUCUCCAAGUGAGAAGACCUUACUUGUCUUCUGAAAGUCUGAAAAGCUGGGAUACAUGAAGACUGCCAUCCCUUGAGUCACUUGCCCUGUAGCUGCCACUGUUGGAAAAGGGCUUGCUUCUGUGUCCUUGUGCCCACUUUGAAAAUCCCUGGGAAGUCCUUGGAGUCAGAUGAGCAGGCCUCCGCCACUCUGCCAAAAAGUCUGUUCACACAAAUGGGCACUCAACAUCAAUGAAGUAACAGCAAAGUCACAUAAUAAAAGCAUGGAAUUAAGACAAGCUGAAGAUUCGGAUGCAAUAAAAC
rnacentral:lncRNA from 10 species